rnacentral:rRNA from 1 species
UUCCAGACUCCUACGGGAGGCAGCAGUGAGGAAUAUUGGUCAAUGGUCGGGAGACUGAACCAGCCAAGCCGCGUGAGGGAUGAAGGUACAGAGUAUCGUAAACCUCUUUUGUCAGGGAACAAAGACUGGGACGCGUCCCCGGAUGAGUGUACCUGAAGAAAAAGCAUCGGCUAACUCCGUGCCAGCAGCCGCGGUAAUACGGAGGAUGCGAGCGUUAUCCGGAUUUAUUGGGUUUAAAGGGUGCGUAGGCGGAACAUUAAGUCAGCGGUAAAAUCGAGGGGCUCAACCCCUUUAAGCCGUUGAAACUGGUGAUCUUGAGUGGGCGAGAAGUAUGCGGAAUGCGUGGUGUAGCGGUGAAAUGCAUAGAUAUCACGCAGAACUCCGAUUGCGAAGGCAGCAUACCGGCGCCCGACUGACGCUGAGGCACGAAAGCGUGGGGAUCGAACAGGAUUAGAUACCCGGGUAU